GAUGAACGCUGGCGGCGUGCCUAAUACAUGCAAGUCGAGCGAACGGACGAGAAGCUUGCUUCUCUGAUGUUAGCGGCGGACGGGUGAGUAACACGUGGAUAACCUACCUAUAAGACUGGGAUAACUUCGGGAAACCGGAGCUAAUACCGGAUAAUAUUUUGAACCGCAUGGUUCAAAAGUGAAAGACGGUCUUGCUGUCACUUAUAGAUGGAUCCGCGCUGCAUUAGCUAGUUGGUAAGGUAACGGCUUACCAAGGCAACGAUGCAUAGCCGACCUGAGAGGAGGAUCGCACACACGGGAACUGAGAAACGGGCCAGACACCUGCGGGAGGCAACGGGGGGGAAGAGUGGACAAGGGGCGCAAGUCGGAACCAGCUAUACCGAGUGAGGGAAGAAGGCCUUAGGGUCGUAAAGCUCGUGUAGGGGAAAAGAAAAGCAACACGCGAAUAACCAGCGGGCCGGACGGUAACCAAAGAAGAAGCAACGGCUAACUUCGUG
rnacentral:rRNA from 1 species